AGGGAAGGGGCUGAGAACAUGACCUGUGCUCACUGGGGCCUGCAUGACCAUUCCCUCCCCACAG
rnacentral:miRNA from 1 species